CACCAAUGCACUAUUCUGUUUACUGUGAGGUUAAAAUUUAAGGCUCAUUAAUUUUUUUUUCCUCUGAAGAAUACCUAUAUUUGAUUUUGAGAGUUAAUGUAUGCCAGGCAUUUCUUUUUUUUUCUUUAUUUUUUGUUAUCUUUAUUUAUGGGAUCGAGACAGAGAUAAAGAGGGUAUGAAGAGAUAGGGAGGGAAAUAGAGAGACACCUGCAGCCCUGCUUCACCACUUGCAAAGCUUUUCCCCUGCAGGUCGGGACUGGGGGCUUGAACCCAGGUCCUUGCGCACUGUAACAUGUGUGCUCAACUACGUGCGCCACCACCUGCCCCCCCCCAGGCAUUUUUUUUAAACACAUAAGUUCUUCAUAUACAUCAACUAAUUUGUCUCACUUUAUAGGUGAGAAAACUGUCAUAAGAAACAAGUCUGGAACUCAGAUUCACACAUGACCCUGUGUGCUCUGAAGUGAGCAGAUUCUCACCUGUCCGCAGAAUUCACUCCCCUGGGCUCUGCACUGGCAAUUUGCAUUAACCUGUGUCGAGAGGCAUGAACAACACUGAGUCUCGUUGCAUUGGCCUCGGGCAAGUUGAUGAGGAUGUGGUUCACUACAUCACAUGUCCUCUUUAGGACAGAUGGGAAAACUCUCUCUCACAUCUCAGUACCAGGAAUGCAUAGAGUUCUCCUGAGCUGGGGGUAUGUAUCCACCUGCCAAUGCCCAGGUCCAGUGGAGAAGCAAUUACAGAAGCCAGAUCUCCCACCUUCUGCUCCCAAUAAAGAAUUUUGGUCCAUAUCCCCAGAGGGAUAAAGAAUAGGGAAGCUUCCAAGGGAGGAGAUGAGACACAGAACUCUGGAGGUGGAGAGGCAGAAAUAAAUAAGGAGGGAGAGAUGGAGAAAGUCACUUAUAUAACUAGCUCACCACUCAGAAAGCUUCUCCUCUGCAGGUAGAGAUUGGGGACUUGAACCUGGGAUUCAAGUCUGAAUCUUGCUCUGCCAGAUGUGUCAUCAACUGGCUACAAGGUGAACACUUUUUUUUUUUUAAUUUCUUUAUUGGGGAGUUAAUGUUUUACACUCGACAGUAAAUACAAUAGUUUGUACAUGCAUAACAUUUCUCAGUUUUCCAUAUAACAAUACAACCCCCACUAGGUCCUCUGUCAUCCUUCUUGGACCUGAAUUCACCCCCCGACCCACCCACCCCAGAGUCUUUUACUUUGGUGCAAUACGCCAAUUCCAGUUCAGGUUCUACUUGUGUUUUAUCUUCUGAUCUUGUUUUUCAACUUCUGCCUGAGAGUGAGAUCAUCCCAUAUUCAUUCUUCUGUUUCUGUCUUAUUUCACUUAACAUGAAUUUUUCAAGGUCCAUCCAAGAUCGGCUGAAAACAGUGAAGUCACCGUUUUUUAUAGCUGAGUGGUAUUCCAUUGUGUAUAUAGACCACACCUUGCUCAGCCACUCAUCUGUUGUUGGACACCUGGGUUGCUUCCAGGUUUUGGCUAUUACAAAUUGUGCUGCUAUGAACAUAUGUGUACACAGAUCUUUUUGGAUGGGUGUGUUGGGUUCUUAAGGAUAUAUCCCCAGGAGAGGAAUUACAGGGUCAUAGGGUAGGUCCAUGUCUAGCCUUCUGAGAAUCCUCCAGACUGUUCUCCACAGAGGUUGGACCAAUUUGCAUUCCCACCAUCAAUGCAGGAGGGUUCCUUUGACCCCACACCGUCUCCAGCAUUUGCUGCUGUUACCUUUUCUGAUGUAUGACAUUCUCACAGGAGUGAAGUGAUAUCUCAUUGUUGUCUUUAUUUGCAUUUCUCUGGCAAUCAGAGACUUGGAGCAUUUUUUCAUGUGUUUCUCAGCCUUUUGGAUCUCUUCUGUGGUGAAUAUUCUGUCCAUGUCCUCCCCCCAUUUUUGGAUGGGGUUAUUUGUUGUCUUGUUGUUGAGUUUGGCAAGCUCUUUAUAUAGUCUGGUUAUUAGCCUCUUUUCUGAUGUAUGGCAUGUAAAGAUCUUCUCCCAUUCUGUGAGGGGUCUCUUGGUUUGGGCAGUGGUUUCUUUUGCUGUGAAGAAGCUUUUUAAUUUGCUGUAGUCCCAUAGGUUUAUGCUUGCCUUAGUCUUCUUUGUAAUUGGAUUCAUUUCAUUGAAGAUGUCUUUAAAAUUUACGUGGAAAAGAGUUCUGCCAAUAUUUUCCUCUAAGUAUCUGAUAGUUUGUGGUCUAACAUCCAAGUCCUUGAUCCACUUGGAAUUUACUUUUGUAUUUGAAUUUGUAUUUCGUAUUUGUAUUGAAUUUACUUUUGUAGUGGUUCAGUUUCAUUCUUCUGCAUGUUUCAACCUAUUUUUUCCAACACCAUUUGUUGAGCAGACUCUGCUUUUCCCAUUGAAUCGUCUGGACCCCUUUGUCAAAGAUGAGAUGUCCAUGGGUGUGGGGGCUUACUUCUGGGCUCUCAAUUCUAUUCCACUGGUCAGUGUGUCUAUUCAUGUUCCAGUACCAAGCAGUUUUGAUGACAAUGGCCCUAUAAUACAAUUUGAGAUCUGGGAGUGUGAUGCCUCCAGUUUUGUUCUUUCUUCUCAAGAUUGUUUUGGCAAUUCUAGGUCUUUUCUGGUACUCUAGAAGUUUAAACACAAGGUUACUCAGACUCUGUCAUAUAUACUUUCUAGUUACUAGGAACUGUGAGAAAUCUGGGCCAAAUUGAACCCAAGGUAUUUAAUAACAAUCACUUCAUUACCUUUAUCUUAAUAAUUAUGAGAAGGUGACUACAGGGCAUCAGAACCUAGAGGAGAAUUUCUAGCUUCUUCAAAAGGGGAGCAUUUUAAGUUUUAUCCCAGAAGAAUACUGAGAAAAUCCCUUUAACUUGUAUGUGCAGUAUUAAAGAAAAUGAUUUCUUUCUACUUGGUUGCAGUCAUGAGGCGUGUAUUUCAUUAUUUUUUUCCUUUAUUGGGAAAUUAAUAUUUAACAUUCGAAAGUAAAUACAAUAGUUUGUACCUGAACAACAUUUCUCAGUUUGUGGGGCGUGUAUUUUAAAUGGUCUUUUUUAGCAUUAUAACAUACCAAAAUGUUCUUGAGCUCUUUUUAAAAAGCAACUAUAACAGAAGAACAAACAGGAUUUCCUCUAUAACUAAUAUUGACUUAAGUUUAUAUGGUCCCAAACCUGAACUUUUCUGUUUAUUUAUGAAACAGAGCCAGGCGAUUGGUCCAUUUGGAUUUACUUCCAACCUUCACAGUUCAGACUGUACAGGCAGUUUAACUCUUGGUCCCUCAGGUGACCAAGGGUUAUAGAAAAGGCCACACAGUGCUUGGAUGUUGCGAAAGGAACCUAUGCCCUGGUCCAUCGCCCAGUAGAGUAGAGUCCCUCAGCAAAAGAAUUUCCACUGGCUCCCCCGUGGGAGUUACUCCUGCUUCAGCCCUUGUCUCAAACCCUUUGGGUGUCAAAAGUGUGAAUAAGCCAUGUGAUUCUGUUCUGGUAGAACCAGAGAUACUGGCCAUGAAACAGCAGUUUGGAGGUGACUUACACUUAUUUGGGAGGUGGCUUGUAGAUAGCUGGCAGGGGGCACUGGAGUCCUGACACAGUGGUGCUGGCUAUUUCCAUAGAUGAAAGAAAGCUUGUUCAAAUCCUAUCCAACACCCGUUUCUCGGUUCUCUUAGAAGUAAGA